GACGAACGCUGGCGGCGUGCUUAACACAUGCAAGUCGAACGGAAAGGCCCUGCUUUUGUGGGGUGCUCGAGUGGCGAACGGGUGAGUAACACGUGAGUAACCUGCCCUUGACUUUGGGAUAACUUCAGGAAACUGGGGCUAAUACCGGAUAGGAGCUCCUGCUGCAUGGUGGGGGUUGGAAAGUUUCGGCGGUUGGGGAUGGACUCGCGGCUUAUCAGCUUGUUGGUGGGGUAGUGGCUUACCAAGGCUUUGACGGGUAGCCGGCCUGAGAGGGUGACCGGCCACAUUGGGACUGAGAUACGGCCCAGACUCCUACGGGAGGCAACAGUGGGGAAUAUUGCACAAUGGGCGGAAGCCUGAUGCAGCAACGCCGCGUGCGGGAUGACGGCCUUCGGGUUGUAAACCGCUUUCGCCUGUGACGAAGCGUGAGUGACGGUAAUGGGUAAAGAAGCACCGGCUAACUACGUGCCAGCAGCCGCGGUGAUACGUAGGGUGCGAGCGUUGUCCGGAUUUAUUGGGCGUAAAGGGCUCGUAGGUGGUUGAUCGCGUCGGAAGUGUAAUCUUGGGGCUUAACCCUGAGCGUGCUUUCGAUACGGGUUGACUUGAGGAAGGUAGGGGAGGAUGGAAUUCCUGGUGGAGCGGUGGAAUGCGCAGAUAUCAGGAGGAACACCAGUGGCGAAGGCGGUUCUCUGGGCCUUUCCUGACGCUGAGGAGCGAAAGCGUGGGGAGCGAACAGGCUUAGAUACCCCGGUAGUCCACGCUGUAAACGGUGGGUACUAGGUGUGGGGUCCAUUCCACGGGUUCCGUGCCGUAGCUAACGCUUUAAGUACCCCGCCUGGGGAGUACGGCCGCAAGGCUAAAACUCAAAGGAAUUGACGGGGCCCCGCACAAGCGGCGGAGCAUGCGGAUUAAUUCGAUGCAACGCGUAGAACCUUACCUGGGUUUGACAUGGAUCGGGAGUGCUCAGAGAUGGGUGUGCCUCUUUUGGGGUCGGUUCACAGGUGGUGCAUGGCUGUCGUCAGCUCGUGUCGUGAGAUGUUGGGUUAAGUCCCGCAACGAGCGCAACCCUUGUUCACUGUUGCCAGCACGUUAUGGUGGGGACUCAGUGGAGACCGCCGGGGUCAACUCGGAGGAAGGUGGGGAUGACGUCAAGUCAUCAUGCCCCUUAUGUCCAGGGCUUCACGCAUGCUACAAUGGCUGGUACAGAGAGUGGCGAGCCUGUGAGGGUGAGCGAAUCUCGGAAAGCCGGUCUCAGUUCGGAUUGGGGUCUGCAACUCGACCUCAUGAAGUCGGAGUCGCUAGUAAUCGCAGAUCAGCAACGCUGCGGUGAAUACGUUCCCGGG
rnacentral:rRNA from 1 species